CAAAAUACAUAACUUAUCUGAUUCAGAAAAACUAACCGUCGCUGUCAUCAGCUUCGAUGGGCCAGCGUUGGACUGGUAUAGGUCUCAAGAAGAGAGGGAAGCAUUCAAGGGAUGGCAAGACUUGAAACAAAAGAUGUUGGUGAGAUUUCGAUUUAUCCGCGACGGCACAUUGGUGGGGCGUUUCCUUACCAUUAAGCAAGAGACGACUGUGGAAGAGUAUAGGAAUCGAUUUGAUAAGUAUUUGGCACCAGUAGCAUUUCUACAACCGGUGGUGUUGGAAGAGACAUUCAUGAACGGCUUGAGCCCGUGGUUGAAAUCAGAAGUGGAAACGUGGGAGCCCGUUGGACUGGCCCAAAUGAUGAAGAUGGCCCUAAAAAUAGAAAACAGAGAGCUGGUCCGGAAGGAAUGAGGGCUGAGCAGCGCGUAUGACAGCAAAGCGGCCCAGCGGACAGUCAAUGCGCGCAACGUUAACGCCCCCACGGCGAAUGAGAACUCGACAGCAAGCGGCUGGCCAAUGAGGACCAUUACGUUGAGAGAAGUAGCGACGGGGGAAAAUCGAUGGGAAGGACCCACUAAGAGGCUGUCGGACGCCGAAUUUCAAGCCCGAAGGGAAAAGGGGUUGUGCUUUCGAUGUGGGGAGAAAUACCAUGCGGGGCAUCGCUGUAAGACUAAAGACAGCAAAGAAUUGCGUAUGUUGCUAGUUAAGGAGAGCGGGGAAGAGUUGGAAAUCAUAGAGGAGGAAUAUUUCGACGCCGAGACAGAGAUGAAGCCACCGGAACUACAGGGCGUAGAAAACUUGAACAUAGAAUUAUCUAUCAACUCGGUGGUGAGCCUGACAAAUCCGGGAACCAUGAAGGUGAAGGGGAAGUUGGGGGAAGAAGAGGUAGUCGUCCUGAUAGAUUGUGGGGCUACCCACAACUUCAUUGCUGAGAAGUUAGUGGAGAAGUUACAGUUGCUAAUGAAAGAAACACCCAAUUAUGGAGUGAUACUGGGAUCGGGGGCAGCGAUAAAAGGGAAGGGCGUGUGCAGAGAGGUGGAGCUGUGGCUAGGGGACUGUAAGGUCACAGAUAGUUUCUUGCCCCUGGAGCUGGGAGGAGUCGAUGCCAUCCUGGGAAUGCAAUGGUUACACUCAUUAGGGACCACCGAAGUUGAUUGGAAAAACCUGAUAUUGACUUUCUAUGAGCAGGGCAGCAAGGUAGUCAUCAAAGGGGACCCGAGCCUCACAAAAACUCAAGUCAGCCUCAAAGGGAUGAUGAAGAACUGGGAUACGGAAGAUCAGGGGUACUUGGUGGAGUGUCGGGCUCUGGAAAAAAGGGACAUUGAAGAUCAGGAGGCAGGCGUCCAAAUCACUGAAACAGAGAAAGACAGAAUGGCAACGAUCAUUAGUAAGUACAGUGAUGUGUUUGAACAGCCGAGCAGAUUGCCACCCCUACGGGGAAUAGAGCAUCAUAUCUACCUAAAGCAGGGAACCGACUCGGUCAACGUUAGACCGUAUAGAUAUGCACACCACCAAAAGGAAGAGAUGGAGAGAUUGGUGGACGAGAUGCUCACUUCGGGGAUUAUCCGGCCAAGCACGAGCCCCUACUCCGGCCCAGUACUGUUAGUAAAAAAGAAGGAUGGGAGUUGGAGAUUCUGUGUGGAUUACAGGGCACUGAACAAUGUGACGAUUCCGGACAAAUUCCCAAUUCCAGUAGUUGAGGAACUCUUUGAUGAAUUGAAUGGGGCAGACAUCUUUUCAAAGAUUGACCUUAAGGCUGGAUAUCACCAAAUCCGGAUGUGCCCUGAAGAUAUCGAAAAGACAGCUUUCCGAACUCACGAGGGGCAUUAUGAGUUCAUGGUGAUGCCGUUCGGACUGACCAACGCCCCUUCAACUUUCCAAGCUUUGAUGAACCAGGUAUUUAAGCCUUUCUUGAGAAGAUUUGUACUUGUGUUCUUUGACGAUAUCCUGGUUUAUAGUAAGGGAAUGGAGGAGCACGCGCAACACCUUGAAGUGGUGUUGGGAAUUUUGAGAGAAAGCGAGUUAUAUGCUAACUUCGAUAAGUGCCAUUUUGCGCAACCAAGGAUCAGCUAUCUGGGGCACUAUAUUUCUGUGAAAGGCAUCGAGGUGGAUUCCGAAAAGAUUCGAGCAGUGAGAGAAUGGCCAGCACCUUCGAAUGUGAGGGAAAUGAGAGGAUUUUUGGGGCUUACCGGCUAUUACCGACGCUUUGUGCAAAACUAUGGAAGUAUAGCGGCACCUCUCACACAGCUAUUGAAAGCAGGGGCGUAUAAAUGGACAGAGGAAACCGAGGCAGCCUUUGAGAAACUCAAGAAGGCUAUGAUGACCCUCCCCGUACUAGCAAUGCCCGACUUUAACUUGCCAUUUGAGGUCGAAUCCGAUGCAUCAGGCUUUGGAGUAGGAGCAGUGCUGGUUCAGGCCAAAAGACCGAUUGCAUACUUCAGCAAGAUCUUAAGUAUGCGGGACCGGGCAAGACCAGUGUAUGAGCGCAAAUUGAUAGCAGUUGUGUGGGCUGUUCAACGAUGGCGACCAUACUUGUUGGGGAGAAAAUUUACAGUAAAGACGGACCAGAGAUUGCUUAAGUUUCUAUUAGAACAAAGAGUAAUCCAGCCGCAAUACCAACAAUGGAUAGCUAAAUUACUCGGCUAUUCGUUUGAAGUAAUAUACAAGCCGGGCUUGGAGAAUAAAGCCGCCGAUGCACUGUCCAGAAUGGGACCAACGGCACACUUGAAUCAGUUGACAGCCCCAGCGUUAUUGGAUGUGGAAGUAAUUCGGGAAGAAGUCAGAAAAGAUCCGGCCCUACAUGAGAUCUUCCUGUUAAUUGAAGAACAGGGCGUGGAAAUCCCACACUACACUUGCCAUCAAGGGAUACUGAAGUUCAAGGGAAGAUUGGUUCUAUCCAAAACUUCUACAUUAAUUCCUACCAUUAUGCACACCUAUCAUGACUCGGUGUUUGGAGGACAUUCAGGGUUCCUUAGAACAUAUAAAAGAAUGGCUGGUGAAUUGUACUGGAAGGGAAUGAAGAAAGACAUUCAGAAGUACUGCAAAGAAUGUAUGAUAUGCCAAAAAAAUAAAUCUUCUACCCUUUCCCCAGCAGGGUUGCUGCUGCCUCUAGAAAUUCCAGACGCCAUCUGGAAUGAUAUCUCCAUGGACUUCAUCGAGGGGUUGCCCAAAUCACACGGGUGGGAAGUGAUUCUGGUAGUUGUAGACCGGCUGAGCAAAUAUGCGCAUUUCCUCACCCUGAAACAUCCAUAUACCGCCAAGACAGUGGCCGAAGUGUUUGUCAAGGAGAUUGUAAGACUACACGGAUUCCCAAAGUCCAUAGUUUCAGACCGGGAUAAAAUCUUUCUCAGCCACUUUUGGUCCGAAAUGUUUAGGUUGGCUGGCACAAAAUUGAAUCAGAGCUCCUCCUAUCAUCCUCAAACGGACGGACAGACCGAAGUGGUUAACAAAAAUGUAGAAGCCUACCUAAGGUGUUUUUGCGGAGAGAAGCCAAGGGAAUGGAGCCAAUGGUUGCACUGGGCCGAAUACUGGUAUAACACGACAUACCAUGGGUCAAUUGGUAUCAACCCAUUUCAAGCGGUCUACGGAAGACUCCCACCACCUUUGAUCCAAUACGGAGAUAUGGAAACACCCAACUCCACGCUUGAUCAGCAACUAAGGGACAGAGAUAUCAUAUUGGGAGCAUUGAAGGAACACUUGCGGGUGGCCUAGGAAAGGAUGAAGAAAUUUGCAGACAUGAAAAGAAGAGAGGUAGAGUUUCAAACCGGGGAUUAUGUGUUCCUCAAACUGAGACCAUACAAACAAACAUCCCUUUGGAAGAAGCGCAAUGAAAAACUAUCACCUAAAUACUUCGGGCCCUACAGAAUUUUAGAAAGAAUCGGGACAGUGGCAUACAAGCUGGAAUUACCUAGCACUGCAGCCACUCAUCCGGUAUUCCAUGUCUCUCAGCUUAAAAAGGCAAGAGGGGACAUCAAAGAAACCCAACCCCUUGACCCUUAUGUCAACGAAUGUCAUGAGUGGAUCACCCAACCGGAGGAAAUCUAUGCUUAUCGAAAGAAUCAGGCCACAAAGGAAUGAGAGGUGCUGGUAAGCUGGAAGGGACUGCCCCCGCAUGAAGCCACUUGGGAAAACUGUGCAGAUUUGAAAGUACAAUUCCCCGAGUUAUACCUUGAGGACAAGGUGGAUUUAGAGGAGGAAAGUGAUGCUAGACCUCCAAUUUUAUUCACCUAUAACCGAAGAAAGAAGGACAAGGGGACACGUGGAAACAAUGAGGAAAGCAAGGAGCAGGGGACCAGCCAAGGGGGGGGGACCACAAGUUAGUUAGUAGUGGAAUUAAAAAAGGGAGCAGGCAGUACAGAGGUGGUACAAUCCAUGUCGGGUAAUAGGUGGGCUGCUCCCUCUUGAGGAAGGAAGGAAGGCAGGCUGAAGGAAUAGCAGAAGACCGUUGCUGCGCAGGGGUCUGGGCUUAAAAAUAAGCUGUUUCUUUGUUUUGUGAGGGUAUGAUGUUUUUGUGAUUGAGUAGUGAGGGACAUUUUGCUGCUUUGUGCUUUUCGUACCAUUUCAAAUCUCACACGUCAAUUUAACUGAGCUGGUGGCUGGUGUGACCAUUGGAAACAGUGUGUUUGGUUUAUCCCAGGCAAUGGUGUGUCAAUAUCCAAGGAAGAAAAAGUUCAUUUAUGUGCUUCUCGUAAUGAUACUACCUUCUCAUAUCAUCUGAAGUCUCAAAUUCCAGGA